rnacentral:tRNA from 1 species
AGGCUUGUAGCUCAGGUGGUUAGAGCGCACCCAUGAUAAGCGUGAGGUCGGUGGUUCAAGUCCACUCAGGCCUACCA